rnacentral:rRNA from 1 species
UACGAAGGGGACUAGCGUUGUUCGGAAUCACUGGGCGUAAAGCGCACGUAGGCGGAUAUUUAAGUCAGGGGUGAAAUCCCGGGGCUCAACCCCGGAACUGCCUUUGAUACUGGGUAUCUAGAGUCCAGAAGAGGUGAGUGGAAUUCCGAGUGUAGAGGUGAAAUUCGUAGAUAUUCGGAGGAACACCAGUGGCGAAGGCGGCUCACUGGUCUGGUACUGACGCUGAGGUGCGAAAGCGUGGGGAGCAAACAGG